AAUAAGAGGUCCAGCCUGCCCAGUGACUUUGUUCAACGGCCGCGGUAUCCUAACCGUGCGAAGGUAGCGUAAUAACUUGUCCUUUAAAUAAGGACUAGUAUGAAUGGCAUCACGAAGGUUAUACUGUCUCCUUUUUUUAAUCAGUUAAACUAAUCUCCUCGUGAAGAAGCGAGGAUAAAAAUAUAAGACGAGAAGACCCUAUGGAGCUUCAAAUAAAAUGGCACUUAUUACAUAUUUCUAUACUUAAAUCUUUUUAAUAUUAUGACCAUAAGUUUUUGGUUGGGGUGACCACGGGGUACAACAAAACCCCCAUGUUGAAAUUUUAAGCCAAGAACAACAUAUCUAAGCAUCAAUAUUUUGACAUUCAUUGACCCAAUAUAAUUGAACAACGAACCAAGUUACCCUAGGGAUAACAGCGCAAUCCACUUCAAGAGCCCCUAUCGACAAGUGGGUUUACGACCUCGAUGUUGGAUCAGGAUUUCCCAGUGGUGCAGCCGCUACUA
rnacentral:rRNA from 1 species